GGGUGGCGAAUGGGGCGGGGUGGGGGGAGCCUGGUGGGCAGGGGGGGGUCCCGUGGGGCAGUGAGGGAGCCUGCCCCUGCCUCGCCCCAUGGGCAUGGACUGGGACCGGGGUGAGACCAGGCACGGGGGUGGGACACCCGUGGGUGCUGGCGGGACCCCUGUGGGGUGAUGGGGGGACACCCAUAGGAGCUGGUGGGACCCUGUAGGGUGAUGCGGGGACACCCAUGGGGUGAUGGAGGGACACCUGUGGGGUGAUGGAGGGACCCCUGUGGGGUGAUCGACGGACACCCAUGGAUGCUGGUGGGACACCCAUGGGUGCUAAUGGGACCCUCAUGGGAGCUGGUGAGACACCUGUGGGUGCUGGUGGGACACCUGUAGGGUGAUGGAGGGAUCCCCGUGGGUGCUGGUGGGACCCCCGUGGGAGCCGCUAGACGUGUGCUGACCUAGCUGCUGGUCCUCUGGCACCACAGGGGCUUCCUGGGGCUCUCGGUGCUCUGGUUAAGAAUCCCUGGGGGGCUCAGCACUGCCCUCCACCUCCAGAGAGGCCCCCAAAGCCGAAAUCACUCCGGCUCAUCCCUGUAGCCCAGCACUGAUCCCCCCCAUGAGGCUCCCCUGGGAUCCCACAGGGUCUGGUGCACUCCCCUCACCUCUGGGCACCUGUCCUGACCUCGCUGUGCAGAGCCCAGCCCGGGAAGCUCCCCAGCUCCCCUGCAGCACCCCGGGGCUCACCGCCGGCGCCUUUUGCCUUCCCUCUCGGUGAACCCCGCCGCUCGUUGGCUCCAGCCCUUUUGGCAGGCAACCACCUUCUGUGUACUUAAAAAAUGUUUGAACGUUAGUUCGAAUGUAAGUUUUCAUGCCUUUAGCAAGUCGCUCCUCAAAAAAAAAAAAAGUUUUGGCUCGC